AUUACUCCUACGGGAGGCAGCAGUGGGGAAUAUUGCACAAUGGGCGAAAGCCUGAUGCAGCAACGCCGCGUGAGUGAUGACGGCCUUCGGGUUGUAAAGCUCUGUCUUUGGGGACGAUAAUGACGGUACCCAAGGAGGAAGCCACGGCUAACUACGUGCCAGCAGCCGCGGUAAUACGUAGGUGGCAAGCGUUGUCCGGAUUUACUGGGCGUAAAGGGUGCGUAGGCGGACCUUUAAGUGAGAUGUGAAAUCCCCGAGCUUAACUUGGGGGCUGCAUUUCAAACUGGAGGUCUAGAGUGCAGGAGAGGAGAGUGGAAUUCCUAGUGUAGCGGUGAAAUGCGUAGAGAUUAGGAAGAACACCAGUGGCGAAGGCGACUCUCUGGACUGUAACUGACGCUGAGGCACGAAAGCGUGGGGAGCAAACAGGAUUAGAUACCCUGGUAGUCAAU
rnacentral:rRNA from 1 species